UACCCGCAGCACAAGUGGUGGUCAUUAUUAUUGGGCGUAAAGAGCUCGUAGGCGGCUUGUCGCGUCGACUGUGAAAACCCGCGGCUCAACUGCGGGCCUGCAGCCGAUACGGGCAGGCUAGAGUUCGGUAGGGGAGACUGGAAUUCCUGGUGUAGCGGUGAAAUGCGCAGAUAUCAGGAGGAACACCGGUGGCGAAGGCGGGUCUCUGGGCCGAUACUGACGCUGAGGAGCGAAAGCGUGGGGAGCGAACAGG
rnacentral:rRNA from 1 species